GAUGAAGAACGUAGUGAAAUGCGAUAAGUAGUGUGAAUUGCAGAAUUCAGUGAAUCAUCGAAUCUUUGAACGCACAUUGCGCCCUUUGGUAUUCCAAAGGGCAUGCCUGUUCGAGCGUCAUUUGUACCCUCAAGCUUUGCUUGGUGUUGGGCGUCUUGUCUCUAGCUUUGCUGGAGACUCGCCUUAAAGUAAUUGGCAGCCGGCCUACUGGUUUCGGAGCGCAGCACAAGUCGCACUCUCUAUCAGCAAAGGUCUAGCAUCCAUUAAGCCUUUUUUUCAACUUUUGACCUCGGAUCAGGUAGGGAUACACGCUGAACUUAAGCAUAUCAAUAAGCGGAGGA
rnacentral:misc_RNA from 1 species